CACCACAAUUUGGAAGAUGAACCCAGACAACCAGAGAUUAAGAGUCUCAUGCUCUACCGACUGAGCUAGCCGGGC